UCCAGUGAUACAAGGGCAAUUGUUCCACUAUUUUUCUCUCUCCUCUCUGUUACUUGGCUGGAUUUCUUCAGACUUUAACCUGGAGUUUCUUAAUUAAGUCUCCACCUGGUUGGACUCACUCUGCUUUAUGCAGUUUCAAGUGGUAUAAGGCAUGUGAGACCAGUGGUAUGUCAGGCAUGGUGGGAACUGCAUCUAGCCAGAUCUAGCUCAGCUGAAGCUUUCUGUCUUCCUCAGCCUGUCCUGCCUCCUCAUCACUGUUCCAGCUGGGGGAUGCAAUUUUCUCAAGCCUGCCUGGAUUGCUAUUUGUGUGAUCAUUCCUUAACUCAUUUCUCUCAAAAUGACCCUGCUUAUUUUAAGCGGUUUAAGGUGUGAUUCCAUGGCAGUUUCAGAUGAUCUAAAUCGUGACUUCACCCACCCCCUCCUCCCGUUCCCAGCUCCAUGUUCCCAUCGCUUUUCCUGUGCUGGCACUUUCCUGUGUCUCACAGCGCAUUGCCAGCGAGGCUGCUUUUGGCUGUACAGCCUCCAAACAGGAUGUUACGUUAUUAUAUGCAAUUCUCUUCCCUGAUGUACUAUCUGAGCGUUGGCCAAACUACCAGUGCACCACUAUGAUUCAUGCAGAACACUUAAUCUCAGUGGAGCCAAAGUGUUACAGGUUUGCCUGUGAGAGACUUCUGGACACUGAAAUUCUUUUAA